UGAGAUACAGUCUGAUACAGAAAUGGGUCUGUGGCAGUCACUCCCCUGGGCAAACUUGUACUACGUUCAAUGACUGUGAGUUAGAUGUGUUGUUUUGUAGUUACCGGGGAUAAUUCAGAUAUGACUCUGGUACCAAGAAGAUUCAUUUUCUUCUCCAAGUACUAACAGGGUAUGCUUUUCCCUUGUAGGUCAGACACAUUCUAUGUGAAAAACAUGGGAAAAUCAUGGAAGCUAUGGAAAAGUUAAAGUCUGGGAUGAGAUUCAGUGAAGUGGCCACCCAAUACAGUGAGGAUAAAGCCAGACAAGGGGGUGACUUGGGUUGGAUGACCAGAGGAUCCAUGGUGGGGCCAUUUCAAGAAGCAGCCUUUGCCUUGCCUGUAAGUGGGAUGGAUAAGCCUGUGUUUACAGACCCACCAGUUAAGACAAAAUUUGGAUAUCAUAUUAUUAUGGUUGAAGGGAGAAAAUAAAAUCACAUGAAAGAC
rnacentral:lncRNA from 1 species